GAUGAACGCUGGCGGCGUGCUUAACACAUGCCAGUCGAACGGAAAGGCCCAAGCUUGCUUGGGUACUCGAGUGGCGAACGGGUGAGUAACACGUGGGUGAUCUGCCCUGCACUUCGGGAUAAGCCUGGGAAACUGGGUCUAAUACCGGAUAGGACCACAUUUUGGAUGGUGUGGUGGAAAGUUUUUCGGUGUGGGAUGAGCUCGCGGCCUAUCAGCUUGUUGGUGGGGUAAUGGCCUACCAAGGCGUCGACGGGUAGCCGGCCUGAGAGGGUGUACGGCCACAUUGGGACUGAGAUACGGCCCAGACUCCUACGGGAGGCAGCAGUGGGGAAUAUUGCACAAUGGGCGCAAGCCUGAUGCAGCGACGCCGCGUGGGGGAUGACGGCCUUCGGGUUGUAAACUCCUUUCGCUAGGGACGAAGCGCAAGUGACGGUACCUGGAGAAGAAGCACCGGCUGACUACGUG
rnacentral:rRNA from 1 species